CUGAGCCAGUUCGUCCCUAUGGAUCCCCACACGCACAAAAAAAAAUCAAUUAUCCAAGGAGCAAAAACAGAGACACCCCUGGGCCCUGAUUCUGUCCUGUGAGACACUCUCACCACCUCCCACUGACCCUCACUCCUAUAAUAAAAUAAAUUCAAGGGAGUUCCCAGUGUGGCUAAGCAAUAAUGAACCUGACUAGUAUCCAUAAGGGCGCAGGUUUGAUCCCUGUCCUUGCUCAAUGGGUGAAGAAUACAGCAUUAAUGAGAGCUGUGGUAGAGAUUGCAGAUGAGGCUCGGAUUCUGCAUUGUUGUGGCUGUGGAGAAGGCCUGUAGCUGCAGCUCAAAUUCAGACCCCAGCCUGGAAAAUUCCAUAUGCUGCAUGUGCAUUCCCAAACAAACGAACAAUAAAGUAAAUUCAAGAUGAAGCAAAGAUUUAAGCAUUACAAUAUCAAAAUCACAAAAGUCACUAGAAGAAAACAAACUGGUAUUUUAGAAGCAUUUCUGAGCAAAAACACAACAGUUACUGGUAUCCUUAAAAGUAUUAAUAUAUUUGCAUUUAAAAGUUUUUUGAAUUAUAUAAUUAGCUUAAAAAGCAAAAACAAUUCUCUAUAAUGAAUUUAUGGGUUUACAUGAAUGAGUAAGAUCUACUCCACUCUCUGGGGUGAAAUGACCUAAUAUUAUUAAGGUGUCAGUUCUUUCUAAAUCAGUCAACAUAAUCAAUGCAAUCUAAUAAAAAUCUAGUUUUGGAGGAAGAGGAAAAGGAAGGUGGUAAUUGUAUUCAGUUUGAAAGAAUUAAAGUUCACCAAAAGCUAGGUCAAUUUGUAAUUCCUGUUGUGACUCAGCAGGUUAAGAAGCUGACUUGUAUCCAUGACUCAAUGAGCCACAAUGGGAACUCAAAUAAAACCUUUUUAAAUAAAUAAAUCCAUUAGAGAAAUACAAGCAAGAUGUUUACAUUUUAGUCCUAGAGUAUGAAAGUAUUUUCUAAGCAUUUUUUUUCUAUGUAGGGCUGCACCCAAAGCAUAUGGAAGUUCCCUGGCUGGGCAUCUAAUUGGAGCUACAGUUGCUGGCCUUCGUCACAGCCACAGCAAUGGCAGGAUCCGAGCAACAUCUGCAACCUACACCACAUCUCACAGCAACACUGGAUCUGUAACCCACUGAGCAAGGCCAGAGAUCAAACCUGCAUCCUCAUGGUACUAGUUGCACACGUUACCACUGAGCCACACCGGUAACUUCCCAAUAUUUUUUUUAAGUAAAGGAGCUGUGAAGGAAAAAAAAGUUAAUAUAUUUGACAACAAAUAAAUGAAACCAAACCAAGAUAAAGUCA
rnacentral:lncRNA from 1 species